rnacentral:sRNA from 1 species
UAGUGGUAAAUGACAUGGUCACUACACA